AUAAGUGAGGUUUUAGGGUUCAACCAAGGAAACCCUAACCCUAAUCAUCCCCAGCUGCCCUAACCGCCCCACUUCCACCCUGCCCAACUUGUGCGCACGCCCCGGCCGCCGGCGUGCAACUCCGGCCGCCGGAAAGGUCACCCCGGCCACCUCUCGGCUCUCCCCUAGCCCCGACCUGCAACAUUUUCGAGUGUUGUGCUCGGGAAAGCAUCAAAGCCGAGCUCCACCCUUCCCUGGCCGAGGCUCUU
rnacentral:lncRNA from 1 species